rnacentral:tRNA from 1 species
GCUGCUGUGGCACAGUCGGUAGCGCACCUCAUUGGUAGUGAGGAGGUCACCAGUUCGAUUCUGGUCAGCAGCU